rnacentral:rRNA from 1 species
AGCGAACGUUUGCGGCGGGCCUAACACAUGCAAGUCGAACGCACUAGCAAUAGUGAGUGGCGCACGGGUGCGUAACACGUGGGUAAUCAACCCUUCAGCCUGGGAUAACGACUCGAAAGGGUCGCUAAUACCGGAUACGGCGCGAGAGGCUUCGGCUUCUCACGAGAAAGCCACGCAAGGGGCACUGAAGGACGAGCCUGCGGCCCAUCAGCUAGUUGGUGAGGUAAGAGCUCACCAAGGCUAAGACGGGUAGCUGGUCUGAGAGGAUGAUCAGCCACACUGGAACUGAGACACGGUCCAGACUCCUACGGGAGGCAGCAGUGGGGAAUAUUGCGCAAUGGGCGAAAGCCUGACGCAGCCACGCCGCGUGAGCGAUGAAGGCCUCGGUCGUAAGACUCUGUGGGAGGAGACGAAGAAGACCUGUGAGAGCAGGCCGUUGACGGUAGUCUCCUUA